AAUGACUGCCUGUAAAGCUGAACAAUUUAGUGUGGUUACAUUUUCUGCAUGAGAUCUUAAAUGCUAUUCCAUUCUUUUUCAAAGACAUCUUUAAAGCCAGGAUCUUGAAAGAACAAUGUGAGUAAGGCAUGUCUUCAAAGCCUUUGGAUUCAGUGACAGAUUGUCAGAAGCAACAAUGAAAGAUCAAGAGAGUAUCCAGUCACACUACUGCUCAUACACAACCUAAAAGAAUAAAUGAUCCAUGCAGGACAGACCAUCUUCCCUGGGAACUUAUCAAUGCCUCCUUGUUCUGGAAUCUCUACAGUAGCAUCACCAAACAUAGAGAAAACUCUUUCCAUUCCUUUGAAUCUGAGAACUUGCCUUCAAAUCCAACUCACUAGCACUGUCUUCUUUGGCACCUGUGACAGUAAGUGUGUUCUUCCCUUCUCAAAUAUCUUUAAGCUU
rnacentral:lncRNA from 1 species